GAUGAACGCUGGCGGCGUGCCUAAUACAUGCAAGUCGAGCGAACAGACGAGGAGCUUGCUCCUCUGACGUUGGCGGCGGACGGGUGAGUAACACGUGGAUAACCUACCUAUAAGACUGGGAUAACUUCGGGAAACCGGAGCUAAUACCGGAUAAUAUAUUGAACCGCAUGGUUCAAUAGUGAAAGACGGUUUUGCUGUCACUUAUAGAUGGAUCCGCGCCGCAUUAGCUAGUUGGUAAGGUAACGGCUUACCAAGGCAACGAUGCGUAGCCGACCUGAGGGGGUGAUCGGCCACACUGGAACUGAGACACGGUCCAGACUCCUACGGGAGGCAGCAGUAGGGAAUCUUCCGCAAUGGGCGAAAGCCUGACGGAGCAACGCCGCGUGAGUGAUGAAGGUCUUCGGAUCGUAAAACUCUGUUAUUAGGGAAGAACAAAUGUGUAAGUAACUAUGCACGUCUUGACGGUACCUAAUCAGAAAGCCACGGCUAACUACGUG
rnacentral:rRNA from 1 species